rnacentral:rRNA from 1 species
UACGUAGGGGGCAAGCGUUGUCCGGAUUUACUGGGCGUAAAGAGCUCGUAGGCGGCUUGUCGCGUCGGAUGUGAAAGCCCGGGGCUUAACUUCGGGUCUGCAUUCGAUACGGGCAGGCUAGAGUUCGGUAGGGGAGAUCGGAAUUCCUGGUGUAGCGGUGAAAUGCGCAGAUAUCAGGAGGAACACCGGUGGCGAAGGCGGAUCUCUGGGCCGAUACUGACGCUGAGGAGCGAAAGCGUGGGGAGCGAACAGG